CAGAUCCCUGCGAGCAUUUUCAAAAUUCAGUUAUAUUAGACAACAGGCACAUAUGCAAUACUGACAUAAUCUCAAAUACCACUAAGCAGCUGGGACACAUUUUUGUUGACCAUACUCGCAGGUAAAAUAAGUAGAUUAUGUGGACAGCUCCAGCUCAUUUUCCUUAAAUCAGUGUGUACAAGGGGUAUGCAAAAAUAAUUUUUUUCUCGCGCACCGAUUCUUUUGCUGUAUAAGCAAGAGAACCCACCACGUUAGUGUAACGUAUCUUGUACAUCACACUAAUAAGUGCUUUAAUUUACCAAGUGAGAUGAGUUACUUUUAUGGAUCAUUCAGUCAUAUCACACUGCAAGCUGCAUUCAUCAAUCUUCAAUUGGAUUUCGCAUGAAACAUGUUUCCCUUUUAUGCAGAUGUGCAAUGGCAAGCCCUUCCGUGUGUUCCAAAGGUAAAAUUUAAGCUCGAAAUUAAAGAAGACAUUUCUAGUCAGAAACAAGCAAAAAUGGUGAAUGCAGAGUAUCAGAAGCCCAAGGUACAGAAAUUAUGAGAAGUGUCGAAUGAUUUUAAGGAAAGAAUGGUAUUUGAAGAUGCAAGAUUCUUUAGUGGAAAUCAAGCAAGUCAGUAUAGGUAGAAUACUCUGAGAAAUUAUGCGAGUAAUGGGAUAGCACACAAUGGGUCAGGAAAUGCGUUGUUUUUCUGAAAAACUAAAGCUGAUGACUGUCAUAUCAUGAGUCACUUUAGCAUCAUGAGACUGCUGUUUGAUAAAUUCAGAAACAAACCAAAAAGCAAGCCAUGCAAAAAUAAAAAAAAAACUAUUUAAUGAUGCUCUCUCCACACUGGGAUAAAUAAUAAGAAACGGAUCACGUCUAAUAUGGACAUAUCCGACACCUUGUGAAACACUAAAGGAAAAAUUCAGUUUCGAGCUAUGGCACUUGCCGCAUAGAUGUGGGGGGCCUUGCACCAAUAGUAAUAGUUACCACUGCAUCUAGAAAUUUAAAGCAUUCAUGCAGACAAGGAUGAUUCUUUACAUUUUUGGCUACCACUUCAAAUGCCUCCACUAAGUGUUACAAUGCUGCACGCAGCCAUACUAAGGAUCUCACAGCAACACUUGCAGGGAAACAGCAAAAGCAGUCAAAGUGCUGGUGUAUUCUGGACACUGUCUUUGAAAACUUUUAGGCAAGAACAGUGCAAGAAACAGACAUAAGAACUGCAUUUAUUUCUAUAAUUCCCCAUUUGAAUGGCCUUUUCUUUUUCCUUCGACAAUGCCUUCGCCUAGCCACAGCAGCUCCCUCAUACAGACUCCGCAAGCCAAGAGGCCGUGGAGGCAAAUGCAGACAGCCAGCCCAUCUCGAACAGCCACCUUGACUGCGGGUGUGUCACCCUAGUCGCCAAGGAAACAUUUGAGGGAAAGCGACAGGCAAUGUGAACAGCCACUUCUCCAUGUAAACGAUACUCUUUCUCUCGGAUGACUCCUACGUUCGCCACGCCAGCACACUUGUGCACAAAGAUGCCGCGGAGGCAAGUGCAGGUCAGAGGCAAGAAGCAGUGGCACUGGUGUCGACAUUCGCCCAAUUUCUUUUUCUUACACUGAGGCAGCCAGCACACCUCGAACAGCCACCUUAACUGCGGGUGUGUUAGUAGAUUCCUGUUGUACAUAUGCUCAUAAUAAACUUCAGUAAACUUGAACUUGAUAAUAAACUUGAAGGCAAAUGGGA